GAGUGAUUGUCUUCUUUUUCACCCCUUUGCCGUGACCACAUGGAACAUUUUUCACGCAAAGCAGUUAGACUGAAAUAGAAUAAUCUACUAGGCUGCCUUUGUUCUCCCAGCAUGAAUUUUGUGCACCUUGGUCUGCAUGUUUUGCAGGAUGAUCAGAGUUUUUAGGCAAGUUGCUUAGCCGAACGUGGACACUUCUGAUGGUAUAUCUGAUUAGCUUCGUACUCCUAGCCAGUAAUACAUUAAGGGAAAUGAAAACAAGUAUUUAUUUUAGGAUG
rnacentral:lncRNA from 1 species